GGUUAAAAUCACUGUCCAAAACCUUUUAAGGAACAAGAUUCAGACCUUUUGGAGUUGGUUACACCAAAAAAAAAAUGUAAAAUGAAAAAAAAUUUAUUUGGGGUGUUCGGGCUUCCUGAAGGUAAUACCCGGGUAUUAGGUUAUGGGGCUAGGGUAAGGUUUAAGGUUUUUGGCGUAAGGGUUAAAAUCACUGUCCAAAACCUUUUUAGGAACAUGUUUCAGACCUUUUGGAGCUAGUUUGAGCAAAAAAGAAAAGAAAAAGAAAAAAUAUAUAUUUGGGGUGUUCGGGCUUCCUGAAGGUAAUACCCGGGUAUUAGGUUAUGGGGCUAGGUUAAGGUUUAAGGUUUUUGGCGUGAGGGUUAAAAUCACUGUCCAAAACCUUUGUAGGAAGUCUUUUCCAACCUUUUGGAGUUAGUUAGACAAAAAAAAAAGAUAAAUGAAAAAAAAAUAUUUGGGUGUUCGGGCUUCCUGAAGGUAAUACCCGGGUAUUAGGUUAUGGGGCUAGGGUAAGGUUUAAGGUUUUUGGCGUAAGGGUUAAAAUCACUGUCCAAAACCGUUUUAGGAACAUGUUUCAGACCUUUUGGAGUUGGUUACACCAAAAAAAAAUGUAAAAUGAAAAAAAAAUAUUUGGGGUGUUCGGGCUUCCUGAAGGUAAUACCCGGGUAUUAGGUUAUGGGGCUAGGGUAAGGUUUAAGGUUUUUGGCGUAAGGGUUAAAAUCACUGUCCAAAACCUUUUUAGGAACAUGUUUCAGACCUUUUGGAGUUGGUUACACCAAAAAAAAUGUAAAAUGAAAAAAAAAAUUUUUUGGGGUGUUCGGGCUUCCUGAAGGUAAUACUAGGUUUCUGGGCUAGGGUAAUGUUUAAGGUUUUUGGCGUUAGGGUUAAAAUCAAUGUCCAAAACCUUUGUAGGAACUCUUUUCCAACCUUUGAGAGCAAGUUAGACCAAAAAUAAAGAAAAAUAAAAAAUAUAUAUUUGGGGUGUUCGGGCUUCCUGAAGGUAAUACCUGGGUAUUAGGUUAUGGGGCUAGGGUUAGGUUUAAGGUUUUUGGCGUUAGGGUUAAAAUCACUGUCCAAUAUUUUUUAAGGAACAUGUUUCAGACCUUUGGGAGUUAGUUAGACAAAAAAAAGAAAAAGAAAAAAAAAUAUUUGGGGUGUUCGGGUUUCCUGAAGGUAAUACCCGGGUAUUAGGUUAUGGGGCUAGGGUAAGGUUUAAGGUUUUUGGCGUUAGAGUUAAAAUCACUGUCCAAAACCUUUUUAGGAACAUGUUUAAGACCUUUUGGAGUUGGUUACACCAAAAAAAAUGUAAAAUGAAAAAAAAAUAUUUGGGGUGUUCGGGCUUCCUGAAGGUAAUACCCGGGUAUUAGGUUAUGGGGCUAGGGUAAGGUUUAAGGUUUUUGGCGUUAGGGUUAAAAUCACUGUCCAAAACCUGUGUAGGAAGUCUUUUCCAACCUUUUGGAGUUAGUUAGACCAAAAAAAAAACGAAAAAUGAAAAAAAAAUAUUUGGGGUGUUCGGGCUUCCUGAAGGUAAUACCCGGGUAUUAGGUUAUGGGGCUAGGGUAAGGUUUAUGGUUUUUGGCGUAAGGGUUAAAAUCACUGUCCAAAACCGUUUUAGGAACAUGUUUCAGACCUUUUGGAGUUGGUUACACCAAAAAAAAAUGUAAAAUGAAAAAAAAAUAUUUGGUGUGUUCAAGCUUCCUGAAGGUAAUACCCGGGUAUUAGGUUAUGGGGCUAGGGUAAGGUUUAAGGUUUUUGGCGUAAGGGUUAAAAUCACUGUCCAAAACCUUUUUAGGAACAUGUUUCAGACCUUUUGGAGUUGGUUACACCAAAAAAAAUGUAAAAUGAAAAAAAAAUUUUUUUGGGUGUUCAGGCUUCCUGAAGGUAAUACUAGGUUUCUGGGCUAGGGUAAUGUUUAAGGAUUUUGGCGUUAGGGUUAAAAUCAAUGUCCAAAACCUUUGUAGGAACUCUUUUCCAACCUUUGAGAGCAAGUUAGACCAAAACAAAAAGAAAAAUAAAAAAUAUAUAUUUGGGGUGUUCGGGCUUCCUGAAGGUAAUACCUGGGUAUUAGGUUUUGGGGCUAGGGUUAGGUUUAAGGUUUUUGGCGUUAGGGUUAAAAUAACUGUCCAAUAUUUUUUAAGGAACAUGUUUCAGACCUUUGGGAGUUAGUUAGACAAAAAAAAAGAAAAAUGAAAAAAAAUAUUUGGGGUGUUCGGGUUUCCUGAAGGUAAUACCCGGGUAUUAGGUUAUGGGGCUAGGGUAAGGUUUAAGGUUUUUGGCGUUAGAGUUAAAAUCAGUGUCCAAAACCUUUUUAGGAACAUGUUUAAGACCUUUUGGAGUUGGUUACACCAAAAAAAAUGUAAAAUGAAAAAAAAUAUAUUUGGGGUGUUCGGGCUUCCUGAAGGUAAUACCCGGGUAUUAGGUUAUGGGGCUAGGGUAAGGUUUAAGGUUUUUGGCGUGAGGGUUAAAAUCACUGUCCAAAACCUUUGUAGGAAGUCUUUUCCAACCUUUUGGAGUUAGUUAGACCAAAAAAAAACGAAAAAUGAAAAAAAAAUAUUUGGGGUGUUUGGGCUUCCUGAAGGUAUUAUGUUUUGGGGCUAGGGUAAGGUUUAAGGUUUUUGGCGUUAGGGUUAAAAUCACUGUCCAAAACCUUUUAAGGAACAAGAUUCAGACCUUUUGGAGUUGGUUACACCAAAAAAAUGUAAAAUGAAAAAAAAUAUAUUUGGGGUGUUCGGGCUUCCUGAAGGUAAUACCCUUCAGGUUUAAGUAUUAGGUUAUGGGGCUAGGAUUAGGUUUAAGGUUUUUGGCGUAAGGGUUAAAAUCACUGUCCAAUAUUUUUAAGGAACAUGUUUCAGACCUUUUGGACAUAGUUUAACCAAAAAAAAAAAAAAUAGAAAAAAUAUAUAUUUGGGGUGUUCGGGCUUCCUGAAGGUAAUACCCGAGUAUUAGGUUAUGGGGCUAGGUUAAGGUUUAAGGUUUUUGGCGUGAGGGUUAAAAUCACUGUCCAAAACCUUUGUAGGAAGUCUUUUCCAACCUUUUGGAGUUAGUUAGACAAAAAAAAAAGAUAAAUGAAAAAAAAAUAUUUGGGGUGUUCGGGCUUCCUGAAGGUAAUACCCGGGUAUUAGAUUAUGGGGCUAGGGUAAGGUUUAAGGUUUUUGGCGUAAGGGUUAAAAUCACUGUCCAAAACCUUUUUAGGAACAUGUUUCAGACCUUUUGGAGUUGGUUACACCAAAAAAAAUGUAAAAUGAAAAAAAAAAUAUUUGGGGUGUUCGGGCUUCCUGAAGGUAAUACCCUUCAGGUUUAAGUAUUAGGUUAUGGGGCUAGGAUUAGGUUUAAGGUUUUUGGCGUAAGGGUUAAAAUCACUGUCCAAUAUUUUUUAAGGAACAUGUUUCAGACCUUUUGGACAUAGUUUAACCAAAAAAAAAAAGAAAUAGAAAAAAUAUAUAUUUGGGGUGUUCGGGCUUCCUGAAGGUAAUACCCGAGUAUUAGGUUAUGGGGCUAGGUUAGGGUUUAAGGUUUUUGGCGUGAGGGUUAAAAUCACUGUCCAAAACCUUUGUAGGAAGUCUUUUCCAACCUUUUGGAGUUAGUUAGACAAAAAAAAAAAAAAGAUAAAUGAAAAAAAAAUAUUUGGGGUGUUCGGGCUUCCUGAAGGUAAUACCCGGGUAUUAGGUUAUGGGGCUAGGGUAAGGUUUAAGGUUUUUGGCGUAAGGGUUAAAAUCACUGUCCAAAACCUUUUUAGGAACAUGUUUCAGACCUUUUGGAGUUGGUUACACCAAAAAAAAAUGUAAAAUGAAAAAAAUUUUUUGGGGUGUUCGGGCUUCCUGAAGGUAAUACUAGGUUUCUGGGCUAGGGUAAGGUUUAAAGUUUUUGGCGUUAGGGUUAAAAUCAAUGUCCAAAACCUUUGUAGGAACUCUUUUCCAACCUUUGAGAGCAAGUUAGACCAAAACAAAAAGAAAAAUAAAAAAUAUAUAUUUGGGGUGUUCGGGCUUCCUGAAGGUAAUACCCGGGUAUUAGGUUAUGGGGCUAGGGUAAGGUUUAAGGUUUUUCGGCGUGAGGGUAAAAAUCACUGUCCAAAACCUUUGUAGGAACCCUUUUCCAACCUUUGGGAAUUAGUUAGACAAAAAAAAAAAGAUAAAUGAAAAAAAAUAUUUGGGGUGUUCAAGCUUCCUGAAGGUAAUACCCGGGUAAUAGGUUAUCGGGCUAGGGUAAGUUUUAAGGUUUUUGGCGUAAGGGUUAAAAUCACUGUCCAAUAUUUUUUAAGGAACAUGUUUCAGACCUUUGGGAGUUAGUUAGACAAAAAAAAAAGAAAAAGAAAAAAAAAUUAUUUGGGGUGUUCGGGUUUCCUGAAGGUAAUACCCGGGUAUUAGGUUAUGGGGCUAGGGUAAGGUUUAAGAUUUUUGGCGUUAGGGUUAAAAUCACUGUCCAAAACCUUUUAAGGAACAAGAUUCAGACCUUUUGGAGUUGGUUACACCAAAAAAAAUGUAAAGUGAAAAAAAUAUAUAUUUGGGGUGUCCGGGCUUCCUGAAGGUAAUACCCGGGUAUUAGGGUUAUGGGGCUUUCGAAAGGUUUAAGGUUUUUGGCGUGAGGGUUAAAAUCACUGUCCAAAACCUUUGUAGGAAGUCUUUUCCAACCUUUUGGAGUUAGUUAGACCAAUAAAAAAAUGAAAAAUGAAAAAAAAAAAUUUGGGGUGUUUGGGCUUCCUGAAGGUAUUAGGUUUUGGGGCUAGGGUAAGGUUUAAGGUUUUUGGCGUUAGGGUUAAAAUCACUGUCCAAAACCUUUUAAGGAACAAGAUUCAGACCUUUUGGAGUUGGUUACACCAAAAAAAAUGUAAAAUGAAAAAAAAAAUAUUUGGGGUGUUCGGGCUUCCUGAAGGUAAUACCCUUCAGGUUUAAGUAUUAGGUUAUGGGGCUAGGAUUAGGUUUAAGGUUUUUGGCGUAAGGGUUAAAAUCACUGUCCAAUAUUUUUUAAGGAACAUGUUUCAGACCUUUUGGACAUAGUUUAACCAAAAAAAAAAAGAAAUAGAAAAAAUAUAUAUUUGGGGUGUUCGGGCUUCCUGAAGGUAAUACCCGGGUAUAAGUUUUGGGGCGAUGGUAAGGUUUAAGGUUUUUGGCGUUAGGGUUAAAAUCACUGUCCAAAACCUAUUUAGGAACAUGUUUCAGACCUUUUGGAGUUGGUUAGACCAAAAAAAAAAAAGAAAAAGAAAAAAAAAUAUUUGGGGUGUUCGGGUUUCCUGAAGGUAAUACCCGGGUAUUAGGUUAUGGGGCUAGGGUAAGUUUUAAGGUUUUUGGCGUUAGGGUUAAAAUCACUGUCCAAAACCUUUUUAGGAACAUGUUUAAGACCUUUUGGAGUUGGUUCCACCAAAAAAAUGUAAAAUGAAAAAAAUAUAUAUUUGGGGUGUUCGGGAUUCCUGAAGGUAAUACCCGGGUAUUAGGUUAUGGGGCUAGGUUAAGGUUUAAGGUUUUUGGCGUGAGGGUUAAAAUCACUGUCCAAAACCUUUGUAGGAAGUCUUUUCCAACCUUUUGGAGUUAGUUAGACAAAAAAAAAAAAAGAUAAAUGAAAAAAAAAUAUUUGGGGUGUUCGGGCUUCCUGAAGGUAAUACCCGGGUAUUAGGUUAUGGGGCUAGGGUAAGGUUUAAGGUUUUUGGCGUAAGGGUUAAAAUCACUGUCCAAAACCUUUUUAGGAACAUGUUUCAGACCUUUUGGAGUUGGUUACACCAAAAAAAAUGUAAAAUGAAAAAAAAAAAUAUUUGGGGUGUUCGGGCUUCCUGAAGGUAAUAGGUUUUGGGGCUAGGGUAAGGUUUAAGGUUUUUGGCGUUAGGGUUAAAAUCACUGUCCAAAACCUUUUAAGGAACAAGAUUCAGACCUUUUGGAGUUGGUUACACCAAAAAAAAAAUGUAAAAUGAAAAAAAAAUAUUUGGGGUGUUCAAGCUUCCUGAAGGUAAUACCCGGGUAUUAGGUUAUGGGGCUAGGGUAAGUUUUAAGGUUUUUGGCGUAAGGGUUAAAAUCACUGUCCAAAACCUUUUUAGGAACAUGUUUCCUAAAAAGGAAACAUGUCCAAAACCUUUGUAGGAAGUCUUUUCCAACCUUUUGGAGUUAGUUAGACCAAAAGAAAAAACGAAAAAUGAAAAAAAGAUAUUUGGGGUGUUCGGGCUUCCUGAAGGUAAUACCCGGGUAAUAGGUUAUCGGGCUAGGGUAAGUUUUAAGGUUUUUGGCGUUAGGGUUAAAAUCACUGUCCAAAACCUUUGUAGGAACUCUUUUCCAACCUUUUGGAGUUAGUUAGACCAAAAGAAAAAAUUAAAAAUGAAAAAAAGAUAUUUGGGGUGUUCGGGCUUCCUGAAGGUAAUACCCGGGUAUUAGGUUUUGGGGCUAGGGUAAGGUUUAAGGUUUUUGGUGUUAGGGUUAAAAUCCACUGUCCAAAUCCUUUGUAGGAACUCUUUUCCAACCUUUUGGAGUUAGUCAGACCAAAAAAACUAGGGCCCCGUUGGGGCACUGGCGGGACCGAGCCGCGUCGCGUCGCCCUCAGCGCGACCGCCUCCCCCUCGCGAUUGCGUCACACUCAAGGUCCAAAGAUGGUGUGCGCACCUGUCUUUGGUCUUUUACCAUUAUAAUGAAUGGGAGGCGCAGUUUCUACCAAAACACUCGCUGCAGACAAACUACAUGUCCUAUAUGAAAAAAGUCUGGACCAUGAGUGAGGGCACAAACACAGCUAGGAUAUAUCCAAAUGGCAAGUUGCUCCUCCUUACGGUGUUGCCGGGAGAGCGAUGCGUUUCAGCCAUUGAGCAACACGCAAGAAAAAUAAAAUUUCUCCUGCCAUGGGGGGUAAGGAAAAUGACCAAUUCUUUUUUAUCAAACAUUAUAAUAUAUAUUAUAUAUUGCAGGGCAUCAAAGUCUUGAAUAUGUGAGAGAUAAGUAAUAUGAUUGACUUUGAUGCCUUUUAACUUUUUCUGUAGCAUCAGAUUUAAUAGACAACUCCCUUUGGCGCCCCUCCGUGGCCAUAACUACUUUGUCUGCUGUUAAUAGACAGCUCCCUUUGGCGCCACUCAGUGGCCAAAAUUACUUUGUCUGCUGUAAAAUCAUAUUGGAUUAAUAUUUUUUCCAGAUUUUUUUUUGUACAUCUCUUAUUUUACUUCUGCCCUGUUCAAAACUAGCAAAUGUUUCAUUGAAAAUAAUUUUUUGUAACCCUUUAAGAGCCCAUUUAAGACAUAAAGUCACUAAUAUAGCAAAAAUGUGAGCCUUUUAACUUUUUCUGUAGCAUCAGAUUUAAUAGACAACUCCCUUUGGCGCCCCUCAGUGGCCAUAUCUACUUUGUCUGCUGUUAAUAGACAGCUCCUUUGGCGCCACUCAGUGGCCAAAAUUACUUUGUCUGCUGUAAAAUCAUAUUGGAUUAAUAUUUUUUCCAGAUUUUUUUUUGUACAUCUCUUAUUUUACUUCUGCCCUGUUCAAAACUAGCAAAUGUUUCAUUGAAAAUAAUUUUUUGUAACCCUUUAAGAGCCCAUUUAAGACAUAAAGUCACUAAUAUAGCAAAAAUGUGAGCCUUUUAACUUUUUCUGUAGCAUCAGAUUUAAUAGACAACUCCCUUUGGCGCCCCUCAGUGGCCAUAUCUACUUUGUCUGCUGUUAAUAGACAACUCCCUUUGGCGCCACUCAGUGGCCAAAACUACUUUGUCUGCUGUAAAAUCAAAUUGGAUUCAUAUUUUUUCCAGAUUUUUCUUUUGUACAUCUCUUAUCUUACUUCUGCCCUGUUCAAAACUAGCAAAUGUUUCAUUGAAAAUAAUUUUUUGUAACCCUUUAAGAGUCCAUUUAAGACAUAAAGUCACUAAUAUAGCAAAAAUGUGAGCCUUUUAACUUUUUCUGUAGCAUCAGAUUUAAUAGACAACUCCCUUUGGCGCCCCUCAGUGGCCAUAUCUACUUUGUCUGCUGUUAAUAGACAACUCCCUUUGGCGCCACUCAGUGGCCAAAACGACUUUUAAGAAUGUGGAUUUUUGGGUCAUCUUUGGCGCCCCCUAGAACGUAAACCGUGGGAUGCAGCGUCAUGAUUUUUACAACUUUGAAUGGCCAUGGGGUGUAGAUUGGCCUGAGCAAAUUUGGUGUCGGUGGGACGAAAGCCUUAGGAGGAGUUAGUCACAUUCCAAUGUGUGCGAAUCGGCAAAAAAAUGCGAAAUAGCCCUUUAACCGUACAUUUUACAGACACGUGCCCAUUGACUUUUUCAUAGAUCUUAUUGAGAUACACGUGAUUGUCAAAUUUUGUGUCAAUAUGACAAAGCGUAUAGGCGUGACACUCAACAAUGUGUAUUUUCACCUUAGGGGACAAGAAAAAAUUGAAUUUUUUCUCCUGCAAUGGGGGGCGCUCUUUUGGGGAGUAAAAAUUCCUUCACAAAUGUGUUGAUGGCUGGACAUUGCAUCAUCCUAGAAAAUUCAAAGAUCACAAAACAGCACAAUCUCAAGUUCAAACACGACACAAACUCAGGUUCAACAAACACACAAACUCAAGUUUAACCAAUACCCAAUUCUCACGUUUAACAAUUUCCACAACCUCAAGUUCAAACACGACACAAACUCAAGUUCAAACACGACACAAACUCAAGUUCAAACAACACCCAAAUAUCAAGUUUAACAUCUGCCAACACCUCAAGUUCAAAAACACCACAAACUCAAGUUCUAAAUGACAAAAACUCAAGUUCAACAAACACACGAACUCAAGUUCAACCAAUGCCCACUUUGCAAGUUUAACAAUUUCCACAACCUCAAGUUGUGGAAAAACAAAAACUCAAGUUCAGACACACCACAAACUCAAGUUAGAAAAACACACAGACUCAAGUUCAACCAACACCUAAGUCACAAGUUUAACAAUUGCCACAAACUUCAGUUCAAAAAACACAAAAGCUCAAGAUCAAAAACACCACAAACUCAAGUUCAAACACGAUUCACAAACUCAAGUUCAACCAAAUCCCAAAUCUCAAGUUUAACAAUUUCCACAACCUCAAGUUCAAAACCAACAGAAACUCAAGUUCAAACACGCCACAAACUCAAGUACAACAAACGCCACAAACUCAAGUUCAACAAUUGCCACCAAGUAAAGUUCAGAGAAAAAUACAGACUCAAGGUUAGCAAUUGCCACAAACUCAAGUUCAUCAAACACCACAAGCUUAAGUUAAAAAAAUGACCAAUAUUCACAUUAAACAAUUGCCAAAAACCCAAGUUCAACAUACUCAAGUUCAAAAAUUGCAAAAAACUCAGGUUCAAAAAAUACACAAAUUCAAGUUCAAAAACACCACAAACUCAAGUUCAAAAAUGCCGAAACUUAAUUUCAACCAACACCCAAAUCUCAAGUUUAACAAUUGCCACAACCUCAUGUUCAAAAACAACAGAAACUCAAAUUCAAAAACACCAAAAACUCAAGUUAAAAAACCCCCACACAAAUUCAAGAUCACAAAACAGCACAAUCUCAAGUUCAAACAAGACACAAACUCAGGUUCAACAAACACACAAGCUCAAGAUAAACCAAUACCCAAUUCUCACGUUUAACAAUUUCCACAACCUCAAGUUCAAAUACAACACAAACUCAGGUUCAAACACGACACAAACUCAAGUGCAAAAACACCACAAACUCAAGUUCAACAAUUGCCACCAACUAAAGUUCGGAGAAAAUACAGACUCAAGUUCAACAAUUGCCACAAACUCAAGUUCAACAAACACCACAAUCUUAAGUUCAACAAAUUCCAAAAUUUCAAGUUCAACAAAUGACCUAAACUCACACUUAACAAUUGCCAAAAACUAAAGUUCAACAAACUCAAGUUAAAAAAGUGCCACAAAAUGAAGUUCAAAAACACCACAAACUCAAGUUCAAAAAACACAAAAACUCAAGUUCAAAAACACCACAAACUCAAUUUCAAACACGAUACAAACUCAAGUUCAACAAACACCACAAACUCAAGUUCAACAAAUGUCACAGUUUCAAGUUCAACCAACACCCGAUUCUCAGGUUUAACAAUUUCCACAACCUCAAAUUCAAAAAACACACAAACUCAAGUUCAAAAACACCAGAACCUCAAGUUCAAAAAACAUAAUAAACUCAAGUUCAAAUAUUCCACAAACUCAAGUUCAAUGAACACCACAAACUCAAGUUCAACCAACACCCGAUUCUCAAGUUUAACAAUUGCCACAACCUCAAGUUAAAAAAAACACAAACUCAAGUUCAAACACUUCACAAACUCAAGUUCAACAAACGCCACAAGCUCAAGUUCAACAAACGCCACAAACUCAAGUUCAACAAUGCCACCAACUAAAGUUCACUAAAAACCAAAGACUCAAGUUCAACAAUUGCCAAAAAAUCAAGCGAAACAAACUCAAGUUCAUAAGUUGUCACAAACUUCAAACAUGACACAAACUCAAGUUCAAAAACACCACAAACUCAAGUUCAAAAAGACACAAACUCAAGUUCAACAAACAAAACUAACUGUUUAGAGUAAUUUUGAGGUGUUUGAGAGGUUUUUUGUAGACUUACCCUAGUGGUCCUAUGUUGUUGUUGAUGUGAGGCGUUUCUUUUCCAGUAGUCUAAAAUCUGUUGGAGGGGGAAAAGGUUCCAGCUGUCCAGCCGCGGCGGCAGCGGUGUGUCUGAAGUCCGGGGUCAUCGGCGGGGGAAAGAAGAUAGGCGCUCCGCGGCAAGGUUUGCUGGGACUCGGUGCCGUUGGCGGGUCGAAGCUCGGUGGUGGGCGGCUUGGAGUGAUGGAGGUGCGGCGUCUUCUUUCAGGUGGUGGGGCGGCGUCUUCCUCGAGGCGGUGGUCGGUCUUCUUGGUCCAGUGGUCAGUGCUUUGUCUCAAUAGCAGGAACAGGAAUUGCUCUUUAGUGCACAGCACUUAAAUGUGCUUUUGACAGGAGAAGACAUCCCCAGAGUUGGGCUCAAGUCAUGGUUUGUGCUGUUCCUCUCAGACAUGGUUGUGUUCUCUUCUCGAUGUUUGUAUUCCAGAAUGGAUGUCUCUUGGUUGUAUUUUAAACUUUCAAGUUGUUUUAAGUUAAUUUUAAUGUAGUUUAUUUGUUUUAAAUUUAGUUUUGCUACAUUAAAUUUGUAUGCAAUCGUAAGGGAUUGUGGGUAUUUUAGUUCUGAGGGAUGAGAGCCUAAGGAAUCAAUCUUCCUGUUACAGCAAAGGAUUGUGGGUAAAACCGUGAGUGAGUGAGGUACUUCCUUUCUGCCAUGAGAGCCUUGGGAAUCAAUCUCCCUGUUGCAGCAAAGGAUUGUGGGUAAAACCGUGAGUGAGGGAGGUACAUUUUUCCUGGCAUGAGAACCUCAGGAGUCAGUCCUUCCUAAGAAAAAAGAGGGGAGGGGGAAGACAAACAAAAGCACAGGAACCCUAAAAUGAAAUAAAAUAAAAUAAAAUAAAAUAAUAUAAAACAAUGAAAAAAUAAAAAAUAAAAGAACAAAAGUGGAUUGCAAAAGGGAAAGGAGAAGAAAAAAGGAAAAAAAGAAGUGUCAAGAGCAAAUAGCAAAAAACAGAAGUGAGCUUAAAAACAGAGAACAGUUCCCUAAAAGACAGACAGAAAUGUAAAUUUGAUCAAUGUCCUAAGGGAAAAUCUGCACGUGUAUGUGUGUUCUUUUUUACUAGCUUAGUCUGGUGUCACUGAUGGUCAGUUAUCAAUAAGUAUUUAUUAUUUAAAUUUUUGAUGAAGUUGUUUGUAGUGGGGUCAGCUGGCUAAUUUUAGUGUGUUAAAAAAGAUGUUAGAGGGGGAGGAUUUAGGUGGCAUGGCGGUUCCCCUUCAGGUCUCUCUUAAUCCUCAAUAUAGGUGACCCAACAGGGGUUACCCCCGGCCGGGGUAGGCCGAGGCUGAAGAUCACCUAUUUGUCCUCUGUGAAGGUGAAAAUAAAGGGGCAGGGGAGGGAAUAAGAAAGAGGGGGGUGUUAGGGGAGAGAUGAGGAGAGAGAGAGAGAGAGAGAGGGGGGGGGGUGGAGAGAGAGAGAGAGAGAGAGAGAGAGAGAGAGAGAGAGAGAGAGAGAGAGAGAGAGAAGGGAAGAGGGAGAGGGGGUUUAAGGGAGAGGUGGAGAUGGUGGAAAAUAAAGAUUGGUGAGGGGGAUUUGGUGGCGGAUGAAACAUUCCAUAGCUCCCCAGCUCUCACCAUCCAUGUGAGGAGAGUGAGCAAGGGACAUAGUCACCCGACCCGACUAGGUCUAGGCUCUGCUCUCCUCACGGUCCUCACAAGAUACAAAGAGAUAUGUAAACGUGGAAGUGAGAGUUCUCUAGGCAGAGUUUUGGGUUUGGUUUGAGCUGAGUUGGUCAGUUGAUUAUUGAUUACUAUUUUAAGUUCUAAAAGUGGAUAGAGUCAAAAAGUCACAGAGGAUUGUGGUGGGAGCAGGUGGUCCAUCUGGCACCAUUCUGCUCAUGCAGGGAUUCGAGUGAUAGAAAGAGAAUAGAUCUUGCCACCGUGACUCGCCAUUGAGACUCUCCUCACCUGCUGGUUUUCAUCCUCUGAUAGGAGAGAGAGGUACAGAUCAGGAGAGAGGGAGAAAAGGAGGGAGGCAGGGUGGGGUCAGGAGUUAAUUUGUCUUGAAAAGUAUUUAUCUUUUCAUCAUUGCUGUUAGGGUUUAGAUGUUUUUUGUUUAGUUUUCUGAGGAAUGUAGUGUUAGUAUAGGUUCCAAGGUGGAGGAUUCUUUGGAAUUCACUCUCACCCUUGAAACUGGAAGAUCUUAGAUUCUAUAAAGGGGGGGGGGGGGGUGAGAGGUUGUGUGCACAGAAGGAGCAUGGGCUCAGACUAUUCUCGGAAUGAUAUUGUGACAAGUCUGUCCGAAGGUAAGUGGCUGGUUAGGUGUGGGAAAGAGAUAGAGUGAUAGCCCCCGCUUUCGUCAGUUGACUUGGCGGGCUUCCUGAAGGUAAUACCCGGGUAUUAGGUUAUAGGGCUAGGGUAAGGUUUAAGGUUUUUGGCAUAUGGGUUAAAAUCACUGUCCAAAACCUUUUUAGGAACAUGUUUCAGACCUUUUGGAGUUGGUUACACCAAAAAAAAAUGUAAAAUGAAAAAAAUUUUUUUUGGGGUGUUCGGGCUUUCUGAAGGUAAUACUAGGUUAUGGGGCUAGGGUAAUGUUUAAGGUUUUUGGGGUUAGGGUUAAAAUCAAUGUCCAAAACCUUUGUAGGAACUCUUUUCCAACCUUUGAGAGCAAGUUAGACCAAAACAAAAAGAAAAAAAAAAUAUAUAUAUUUGGGGUGUUCGGGCUUCCUGAAGGUAAUACCCGGGUAUUAGGUUAUGGGGCUAGGGUAAGGUUUAAGGUUUUUCGGCGUGAGGGUAAAAAUCACUGUCCAAAACCUUUGUAGGAACUCUUUUCCAACCUUUUGGAAUUAGUUAGACAAAAAAAAAAGAUAAAUGAAAAAAAAAGGUUUGGGGUGUUCGGGCUUCCUGAAGGUAAUACCCGGGUAUUAGGUUUUGGGGCUAGGGUUAGGUUUAAGGUUUUUGGCGUUAGGGUUAAAAUCACUGUCCAAUAUUUUUUAAGGAACAUGUUUCAGACCUUUUGGAGUUAGUUAGACAAAAAAAAAAAGAUAAAUGAAAAAAAAAUAUUUGGGGUGUUCGGGCUUCCUGAAGGUAAUACCCGGGUAUUAGGUUAUGGGGCUAGGGUAAGGUUUAAGGUUUUUGGCGUUAGAGUUAAAAUCAGUGUCCAAAACCUUUUUAGGAACAUGUUUAAGACCUUUUGGAGUUGGUUACACCAAAAAAAAAAAGGAAAAUGAAAAAAAAAAUAUUUGGGGUGUUCGAGCUUCCUGAAGGUAAUACCCGGGUAUUACGUUUUGGGGCUAGGGUAAGGUUUAAGGUUUUUGGUGUUAGGGUUAAAAUCACUGUCCAAAACCUUUGUAGGAACUCUUUUCCGACCUUUUGGAGUUAGUUAGACCAAAUAAACAGAAAAAAGAAAAAAAUAUAUUUGGGGUCUUCGGGCUUCCUGAAGGAAAUACCCAGGUAUUAGGUUAUGGGGCUAGGGUAAGGUUUAAGGUUUUUGGCGUUAGGGUUAAAAUCAGUGUCCAAAACCUUUUUAGGAACAUGUUUAAGACCUUUUGGAGUUGGUUACACCAAAAAAAAUGUAAAAUGCAAAAAAAAAAUAUUUGGGGUUUUUGGGCUUCCUGAAGGUAAUACCCAGGUAUUAGGUUUUGGGGCUAGGGUUAGGUUUAAGGUAUUUGGCGUUAGGGUUAAAAUCACUGUCCAAAACCUUUUUAGGAACAUGUUUCAGACCUUUUGGAGUUGGUUACACCAAAAAAAAAAUGUAAAAUGAAAAAAAAAUAUUUGGGGUGUUCAAGCUUCCUGAAGGUAAUACCCGGGUAUUAGGUUAUGGGGCUAGGGUAAGGUUAAAGGUUUUUGGAGUUAGAGUUAAAAUCAGUGUCCAAAACCUUUUUAGGAACAUGUUUAAGACCUUUUGGAGUUGGUUACACCAAAAAAAAAAUGUAAAAUGAAAAAAAAAAAAUUUGGGGUGUUCGGGCUUCCUGAAGGUAAUACCCGGGUAUUAGGUUUUGGGGCUAGGGUAAGGUUUAAGGUUUUUGGCGUUAGGGUUAAAAUCACUGUCCAAAACCUUUGUAGGAACUCUUUUCUGACCUUUUGGAGUUAGUUAGACCAAAAAAAAUGAAAAAAGAAAAAAAUAUAUUUGGGGUGUUCGGGCUUCCUGAAGGUAAUACCCGGGUAUUAGGUUAUGGGGCUAGGGUAAGGUUUAAGGUUUUUGGCGUUAGGGUUAAAAUCACUGUCCAAAACCUUUUUAGGAACAUGUUUCAGACCUUUUGGAGUUGGUUACACCAAAAAAAAUGUAAAAUGAAAAAAAUAUAUAUUUGGGGUGUUCGGGCUUCCUGAAGGUAAUACCCGGGUAUUAGGGUUAUGGGGCUUUGGAAAGGUUUAAGGUUUUUGGCGUGAGGGUUAAAAUCACUGUCCAAAACCUUUGUAGGAAGUCUUUUCCAACCUUUUGGAGUUAGUUAGACCAAUAAAAAAAUGAAAAAUGAAAAAAAAAAAUUUGGGGUGUUCGGGCUUCCUGAAGGUAUUAGGUUUUGGGGCUAGGGUAAGGUUUAAGGUUUUUGGCGUUAGGGUUAAAAUCACUGUCCAAAACCUUUUAAGGAACAAGAUUCAGACCUUUUGGAGUUGGUUACACCAAAAAAAAUGUAAAAUGAAAAAAAAAUAUUUGGGGUGUUCGGGAUUCCUGAAGGUAAUACCCUUCAGGGUAAGUAUUAGGUUAUGGGGCUAGGAUAAGGUUUAAGGUUUUUGGCAUAAGGGUUAAAAUCACUGUCCAAUAUUUUUUAAGGAACAUGUUUCAGACCUUUUGGAGCUAGUUUGACCAAAAAAAAAAAGAAAAAGAAAAAAUAUUUAUUUGGGGUGUUCGGGCUUCCUGAAGGUAAUACCCGGGUAUUAGGUUAUGGGGCUAGGUUAAGGUUUAAGGUUUUUGGCGUGAGGGUUAAAAUCACUGUCCAAAACCUUUGUAGGAAGUCUUUUCCAACCUUUUGGAGUUAGUUAGACAAAAAAAAAAAGAUAAAUGAAAAAAAUAUAUUUGGGGUGUUCGGGCUUCCUGAAGGUAAUACCCGGGUAUUAGGUUAUGGGGCUAGGGUAAGGUUUAAGGUUUUUGGCGUAAGGGUUAAAAUCACUGUCCAAAACCGUUUUAGGAACAUGUUUCAGACCUUUUGGAGUUGGUUACACCAAAAAAAAAAGUAAAAUGAAAAAAAAAUAUUUGGUGUGUUCAAGCUUCCUGAAGGUAAUACCCGGGUAUUAGGUUAUGGGGCUAGGGUAAGGUUUAAGGUUUUUGGCGUAAGGGUUAAAAUCACUGUCCAAAACCUUUGUAGGACCUCUUUUCCAACCUUUUGGUGUUAGUUAGACCAAAAAAAAACGAAAAAUGAAAAAAAAAUAUUUGGGGUGUUCGGGCUUCCUGAAGGUAAUAGGUUUCUGGGCUAGGGUAAUGUUUAACGUUUUUGGCGUUAGGGUUCAAAUCAAUGUCCAAAACCUUUGUAGGAACUCUUUUCCAACCUUUGAGAGCAAGUUAGACCAAAACAAAAAGAAAAAUAAAAAAUAUAUAUUUGGGGUGUUCGGGCUUCCUGAAGGUAAUACCUGGGUAUUAGGUUUUGGGGCUAGGGUUAGGUUUAAGGUUUUUGGCGUUAGGGUUAAAAUAACUGUCCAAUAUUUUUUAAGGAACAUGUUUCAGACCUUUGGGAGUUAGUUAGACAAAAAAAAAGAAAAAGAAAAAAAAAUUAUUUGGGGUGUUCGGGUUUCCUGAAGGUAAUACCCGGGUAUUAGGUUAUGGGGCUAGGGUAAGGUUUAAGGUUUUUGGCGUUAGAGUUAAAAUCAGUGUCCAAAACCUUUUUAGGAACAUGUUUAAGACCUUUUGGAGUUGGUUACACCAAAAAAAAUGUAAAAUGAAAAAAAAAUAUUUGGGGUGUUCGGGCUUCCUGAAGGUAAUACCCGGGUAUUAGGUUAUGGGGCUAGGGUAAGGUUUAAGGUUUUUGGCGUGAGGGUUAAAAUCACUGUCCAAAACCUUUGUAGGACCUCUUUUCCAACCUUUUGGUGUUAGUUAGACCAAAAAAAAACGAAAAAUGAAAAAAAAAUAUUUGGGGUUUUUGGGCUUCCUGAAGGUAAUACCCGGGUAUUAGGUUAUGGGGCUUUGGAAAGGUUUAAGGUUUUUGGCGUGAGGGUUAAAAUCACUGUCCAAAACCUUUGUAGGAAGUCUUUUCCAACCUUUUGGAGUUAGUUAGACCAAUAAAAAAAUGAAAAAUGAAAAAAAAAAAUUUGGGGUGUUUGGGCUUCCUGAAGGUAUUAUGUUUUGGGGCUAGGGUAAGGUUUAAGGUUUUUGGCGUUAGGGUUAAAAUCACUGUCCAAAACCUUUUAAGGAACAAGAUUCAGACCUUUUGGAGUUGGUUACACCAAAAAAAUGUAAAAUGAAAAAAAAUAUAUUUGUGGUGUUCGGGCUUCCUGAAGGUAAUACCCUUCAGGUUUAAGUAUUAGGUUAUGGGGCUAGGAUUAGGUUUAAGGUUUUUGGCGUAAGGGUUAAAAUCACUGUCCAAAACCUUUUUAGGAACAUGUUUCAGACCUUUUGGACAUAGUUUAACCAAAAAAAAAAAGAAAUAGAAAAAAUAUAUAUUUGGGGUGUUCGGGCUUCCUGAAGGUAAUACCCGGGUAUUAGGUUAUGGGGCUAGGUUAAGGUUUAAGGUUUUUGGCGUGAGGGUUAAAAUCACUGUCCAAAACCUUUGUAGGAAGUCUUUUCCAACCUUUUGGAGUUAUUUAGACAAAAAAAAAAGAUAAAUGAAAAAAAAAUAUUUGGGGUGUUCGGGCUUCCUGAAGGUAAUACCCGGGUAUUAGGUUAUGGGGCUAGGGUAAGGUUUAAGGUUUUUGGCGUAAGGGUUAAAAUCACUGUCCAAAACCUUUUUAGGAACAUGUUUCAGACCUUUUGGAGUUGGUUACACCAAAAAAAAUGUAAAAUGAAAAAAAAAUAUUUGGGGUGUUCGGGCUUCCUGAAGGUAAUACCCUUCAGGGUAAGUAUUAUGUUAUGGGGCUAGGAUAAGGUUUAAGGUUUUUGGCAUAAGGGUUAAAAUCACUGUCCAAUAUUUUUUAAGGAACAUGUUUCAGACCUUUUGGAGCUAGUUUGACCAAAAAAAAAAAAGAAAAAGAAAAAAUAUAUAUAUGGGGUGUUCGGGCUUCCUGAAGGUAAUACCUGGGUAUUAGGUUAUGGGGCUAGGUUAAGGUUUAAGGUUUUUGGCGUGAGGGUUAAAAUCACUGUCCAAAACCUUUGUAGGAAGUCUUUUCCAACCUUUUGGAGUUAGUUAGACAAAAAAAAAAGAUAAAUGAAAAAAAAAUAUUUGGGGUGUUUGGGCUUCCUGAAGGUAUUAGGUUUUGGGGCUAGGGUAAGGUUUAAGGUUUUUGGCGUUAGGGUUAAAAUCACUGUCCAAAACCUUUUAAGGAACAAGAUUCAGACCUUUUGGAGUUGGUUACACCAAAAAAAAUGUAAAAUGAAAAAAAAAUAUUUGGGGUGUUCGGGCUUCCUGAAGGUAAUACCCUUCAGGGUAAGUAUUAGGUUAUGGGGCUAGGAUAAGGUUUAAGGUUUUUGGCAUAAGGGUUAAAAUCACUGUCCAAUAUUUUUUAAGGAACAUGUUUCAGACCUUUUGGAGCUAGUUUGACCAAAAAAAAAAAGAAAAAGAAAAAAUAUAUAUUUGGGGUGUUCGGGCUUCCUGAAGGUAAUACCUGGGUAUUAGGUUAUGGGGCUAGGUUAAGGUUUAAGGUUUUUGGCGUGAGGGUUAAAAUCACUGUCCAAAACCUUUGUAGGAAGUCUUUUCCAACCUUUUGGAGUUAGUUAGACAAAAAAAAAAAGAUAAAUGAAAAAAAAAUAUUUGUGGUGUUCGGGCUUCCUGAAGGUAAUACCCGGGUAUUAGGUUAUGGGGCUAGGGUAAGGUUUAAGGUUUUUGGCGUAAGGGUUAAAAUCACUGUCCAAAACCGUUUUAGGAACAUGUUUCAGACCUUUUGGAGUUGGUUACACCAAAAAAAAAUGUAAAAUGAAAAAAAAAUAUUUGGUGUGUUCAAGCUUCCUGAAGGUAAUACUCGGGUAUUAGGUUAUGGGGCUAGGGUAAGGUUUAAGGUUUUUGGCGUAAGGGUUAAAAUCACUGUCCAAAACCGUUUUAGGAACAUGUUUCAGACCUUUUGGAGUUGGUUACACCAAAAAAAAAUGUAAAAUGAAAAAAAAUUUUUUUGGGGUGUUCGGGCUUCCUGAAGGUAAUACUAGGUUUCUGGGCUAGGGUAAUGUUUAAGGUUUUUGGCGUUAGGGUUAAAAUCAAUGUCCAAAACCUUUGUAGGAACUCUUUUCCAACCUUUGAGAGCAAGUUAGACCAAAACAAAAAGAAAAAUAAAAAAUAUAUAUUUGGGGUGUUCGGGCUUCCUGAAGGUAAUACCUGGGUAUUAGGUUUUGGGGCUAGGGUUAGGUUUAAGGUUUUUGGCGUUAGGGUUAAAAUAACUGUCCAAUAUUUUUUAAGGAACAUGUUUCAGACCUUUGGGAGUUAGUUAGACAAAAAAAAAGAAAAAGAAAAAAAAAUUAUUUGGGGUGUUCGGGUUUCCUGAAGGUAAUACCCGGGUAUUAGGUUAUGGGGCUAGGGUAAGGUUUAAGGUUUUUGGCGUUAGAGUUAAAAUCAGUGUCCAAAACCUUUUUAGGAACAUGUUUAAGACCUUUUGGAGUUGGUUACACCAAAAAAAAUGUAAAAUGAAAAAAAUAUAUAUUUGGGGUGUUCGGGCUUCCUGAAGGUAAUACCCGGGUAUUAGGUUAUGGGGCUAGGGUAAGGUUUAAGGUUUUUGGCGUGAGGGUUAAAAUCACUGUCCAAAACCUUUGUAGGAAGUCUUUUCCAACCUUUUGGAGUUAGUUAGACCAAAAAAAAACGAAAAAUGAAAAAAAAAUAUUUGUGGUGUUCGGGCUUCCUGAAGGUAAUACCCGGGUAUUAGGUUAUGGGGCUAGGGUAAGGUUUAAGGUUUUUGGCGUAAGGGUUAAAAUCACUGUCCAAAACCGUUUUAGGAACAUGUUUCAGACCUUUUGGAGUUGGUUACACCAAAAAAAAAUGUAAAAUGAAAAAAAAAUAUUUGGGGUGUUCGGGCUUCCUGAAGGUAAUACCCGGGUAUUAGGUUAUGGGGCUAGGGUAAGGUUUAAGGUUUUUGGCGUAAGGGUUAAAAUCACUGUCCAAAACCUUUUUAGGAACAUGUUUCAGACCUUUUGGAGUUGGUUACACCAAAAAAAAUGUAAAAUGAAAAAAAAAAAUUUUGGGGUGUUCGGGCUUCCUGAAGGUAAUACUAGGUUUCUGGGCUAGGGUAAUGUUUAACGUUUUUGGCGUUAGGGUUCAAAUCAAUGUCCAAAACCUUUGUAGGAACUCUUUUCCAACCUUUGAGAGCAAGUUAGACCAAAACAAAAAGAAAAAUAAAAAAUAUAUAUUUGGGGUGUUCGGGCUUCCUGAAGGUAAUACCCGGGUAUUAGGUUUUGGGGCUAGGGUUAGGUUUAAGGUUUUUGGCGUUAGGGUUAAAAUAACUGUCCAAUAUUUUUUAAGGAACAUGUUUCAGACCUUUUGGAGUUAGUUAGACAAAAAAAAAAGAAAAAGAAAAAAAAAUAUUUGGGGUGUUCGGGCUUCCUGAAGGUAAUACCCGGGUAUUAGGUUAUGGGGCUAGGGUAAGGUUUAAGGUUUUUGGCGUUAGAGUUAAAAUCACUGUCCAAAACCUUUUUAGGAACAUGUUUAAGACCUUUUGGAGUUGGUUACACCAAAAAAAAAUGUAAAAUGAAAAAAAAAAUAUUUGGGGUGUUCGGGCUUCCUGAAGGUAAUACCCGGGUAUUAGGUUAUGGGGCUAGGGUAAGGUUUAAGGUUUUUGGCGUUAGGGUUAAAAUCACUGUCCAAAACCUUUGUAGGAAGUCUUUUCCAACCUUUUGGAGUUAGUUAGACCAAAAGAAAAAACGAAAAAUGAAAAAAAAAUAUUUGGGGUGUUUGGGCUUCCUGAAGGUAUUAGGUUAUGGGGCUAGGGUAAGGUUUAAGGUUUUUGGCGUUAGGGUUAAAAUCACUGUCCAAAACCUUUUAAGGAACAAGAUUCAGACCUUUUGGAGUUGGUUACACCAAAAAAAAUGUAAAAUGAAAAAAAAUAUAUUUGGGGUGUUCGGGCUUCCUGAAGGUAAUACCCGGGUAUUAGGUUAUGGGGCUAGGGUAAGGUUUAAGGUUUUUGGCGUAAGGGUUAAAAUCACUGUCCAAAACCUUUUUAGGAACAUGUUUCAGACCUUUUGGACAUAGUUUAACCAAAAAAAAAAAAGAAAUAGAAAAAAUAUAUAUUUGGGGUGUUCGGGCUUCCUGAAGGUAAUACCCGGGUAUUAGGUUAUGGGGCUAGGGUAAGGUUUAAGGUUUUUGGCGUGAGGGU